rnacentral:tRNA from 1 species
CAAAAAGUAGUAUAAACAUUUACAACUUGUUUACACCAAGUAAAAGGCUAAAUCCCUUUUUG